rnacentral:pre_miRNA from 1 species
UAUAUACACCUUCCGUCUGGAAAUACUUGUCCUAAAAAUGCGUAUAAUGGAUGUAUCUACAAUUAAAAUAAGUCUAGAUACAUUCAUCUCUAGGACAAGUAUUUUUGGACGGAUGUAGUAUGUU